GCGUAACAGAAAUCCAUCCGCACGCACAGCACCAUCUAGAGUCAGGGGCGCAGCACCGCCGGGGACCUGAUCUGUCGGGAGGAAUCCGCAUUGCUAGUUAUUCAGUGAUGGGGCUAAAAUUCGCCGAACAAACCCGGCAGGGGCUGAGCGGCCUGCGUUGGUGCAUGGCUCCCUGGUGGCAUGCCAGUCGCAGCUGGACUCCCUGUGCAGAGCUCAGCAGGAGUGCGGGCAGCCCAGAUCCAGUCCAAGGAGGCGGAAGUCAUCUCCGUCAGGGCAGGGUGGGUGCACCAUGCUACCAAUCAGGCAUCUCCAGUCACCCCCCUGCCCCCCGGGGAGCAUUUUGCACCUAGUUGGCCCAGGUGUGAAUGACAAGGCAGCGGGGAAGCAGGCGCACAGAGAGGGGAGUGAACGGGCCUGUGGCAGCAGAUGGUCUAUGGAGGAGCGAGGAGGCUACGGUGGCAAGGCUCCACACGCACAUGUCCCUGGUGGGGAAACUGAGGCACAGAGCAGUGACAUGACUUGCCGAAGGUCACCCAAUGGGCUAGUGGCAGAGCCAGAAAUAGAAGCCAGGUCUUCUGAAUGGCAGGCCACACCCCCUCCUGCAACAAAGCCAGCGGAUUAAACGCUCACUCCUCAGCG